UACGUAGGGGGCUAGCGUUGUCCGGAAUUACUGGGCGUAAAGGGCGCGUAGGCGGCCUGUUAAGUCGAACGUGAAAUCCCCGGGCUCAACCCGGGAACUGCGUCCGAUACUGGCAGGCUUGAAUUCGGGAGAGGGAUGUGGAAUUCCAGGUGUAGCGGUGAAAUGCGUAGAUAUCUGGAGGAACACCGGUGGCGAAGGCGGCAUCCUGGACCGAUAUUGACGCUGAUGCGCGAAAGCCAGGGGAGCAAACGGG
rnacentral:rRNA from 1 species